ACGUUCUUGCGACCUUCCCAAGAUGGCGGCCACUGACAGCUUCCGCCUUUACGUAAACCGGCAAGGGGCGGGCUCUCCAGAUCUUGAGUGAAUGCUAUGUGUUGGUGGGAUUUAAACCACAACCCAGUGACGGGAUUCUAGGAAAAGUAGUUCCCAGACCUCCAGCCUCCCUCCUCUCCUGUGAGUCCAGAGGGGAGUAGAGUGGGUGAAGAAUCUGUCCGAAAUGCAGGAGACACAGGAGACACGGGUUUGAUCCCUGAGUUGGAAAGAUCCCUUGGAGGAGGAAAUGGCAACCCAUCCAGUAUUCUUGCCUGAAAAAUCCUGUGGACAGAGGAGCCUGGCAGGCUAUAGCCCAUGGAGUCUCAAAGACUUGGACACGACUAGGCGACUAAACACACACGCUCACGCUCACACUUCUGCCUCCAUCCUUUUUUCUUCCAGGAUUGUGUGCUGCUUGUAACAGUGAAAAAUCAUGGAAGUAAAGAGGUUUUUU
ensembl:lncRNA